UUUCCUAUUACACCAUAUUCU
rnacentral:tRNA from 6 species